rnacentral:rRNA from 1 species
UACGUAGGGACCGAGCGUUGUCCGGAAUCAUUGGACGUAAAGAGCGUGUAGGCGGCUUUGCAAGUCCGUUGUGAAAACUCGAGGCUCAACCUCGAGACGCCGAUGGAAACCCCCUGGCUAGAGUCCGGAAGAGGAGAAUGGAAUUCCUGGUGUAGCGGUGAAAUGCGCAGAUAUCAGGAAGAACACCCGUGGCUAAGGCGGUUCUCUAGUACGGUACUGACGCUGAGACGCGAAAGCGUGGGGAGCGAACAGG